UACGUAGGGUGCGAGCGUUGUCCGGAAUUAUUGGGCGUAAAGAGCUCGUAGGCGGUGUGUCACGUCGGCCGUGAAAACCUGCAGCUUAACUGUGGGCGUGCGGUCGAUACGGGCAUCACUGGAGUUCGGCAGGGGAGACUGGAAUUCCUGGUGUAGCGGUGAAAUGCGCAGAUAUCAGGAGGAACACCGGUGGCGAAGGCGGGUCUCUGGGCCGAUACUGACGCUGAGGAGCGAAAGCGUGGGGAGCGAUCCGG
rnacentral:rRNA from 1 species